UUUUCUUUUUAUUGUCUUGAACUUCCUAGAAACAUGAGUGGAUUUGAGGCAAGUAACUCAAUGGAGAUCACCAUGGAUUCCUUCUAUUCAUAUUUCCUUUGAAUUAAAAACAACUGAUUUAUCUAUUUCACCCAGAAUGAAAGCUACAUUUGGGACCCAGAAUUGUCCUGAUACAUUGUUCCCCAUGAUUAAUAUGCAUUCAUUCAACAACUGAAUCAAUGGAUCAAUGGAGAUGUCAAUGUAUUGAAGUGGUUUCUAUCAGUCCUCAGAACGAAGAUCGAAGCUGAGAUGAAAAACUCAACACUAGGCAGCUGUCAGUGGCUUUGGAGACUCGAUUCUCUCUCCUCUCCCAAGGACAAUGAGCUAUGCCUUUGAAUUGAGCAGAUGACAAGUUGUGAUCACUGAAUUUUAAGGACUGGAUAUCUAAAGAAAAAGGUGGGAGAGGGGAUUAUGAUAUUACAAAAUAUGCUGAAUUUU